rnacentral:rRNA from 1 species
UACGUAGGGGGCUAGCGUUGUCCGGAAUCAUUGGGCGUAAAGCGCGUGUAGGCGGCCCGGUAAGUCCGCUGUGAAAGUCGGGGGCUCAACCCUCGGAAGCCGGUGGAUACUGUCGGGCUGGAGUACGGAAGAGGCGAGUGGAAUUCCUGGUGUAGCGGUGAAAUGCGCAGAUAUCAGGAGGAACACCGAUUGCGAAGGCAGCUCGCUGGGACGUAACUGACGCUGAGACGCGAAAGCGUGGGGAGCGAACAGG